UGUUUUGGCAUGGAAAAUUAAAAAGUUCAUUCUUAAGCCGAAAUUUUUGAUGAAAUUUGUACAUUUAAAAUUUAUAGGGGGAUAGAAACUGAUGCGUCAUACGGAACGUAUUAAUUUUAAAAAUAGAACU